rnacentral:rRNA from 1 species
ACUCCUACGGGAGGCAGCAGUGGGGAAUCUUCCACAAUGGGCGCAAGCCUGAUGGAGCAACACCGCGUGAGUGAAGAAGGGUUUCGGCUCGUAAAGCUCUGUUGUUAAAGAAGAACACGUAUGAGAGUAACUGUUCAUACGUUGACGGUAUUUAACCAGAAAGUCACGGCUAACUACGUGCCAGCAGCCGCGGUAAUACGUAGGUGGCAAGCGUUAUCCGGAUUUAUUGGGCGUAAAGAGAGUGCAGGCGGUUUUCUAAGUCUGAUGUGAAAGCCUUCGGCUUAACCGGAGAAGUGCAUCGGAAACUGGAUAACUUGAGUGCAGAAGAGGGUAGUGGAACUCCAUGUGUAGCGGUGGAAUGCGUAGAUAUAUGGAAGAACACCAGUGGCGAAGGCGGCUACCUGGUCUGCAACUGACGCUGAGACUCGAAAGCAUGGGUAGCGAACAGGAUUAGAUACCCUGGUAGGAUAGCG